CUGGGCUCGGAGUGCAGCGGGGUUAGGGUGGACGAGGACGUGUUGCACCCUGAAGAGCCUCAUCAUCGGUGAGAGUGGGGUGGGCAAGUCCAGCCUGCUCUUGAGGUUCACAGAUGAUACCUUUGAUCCAGAACUUGCAGCAACAAUAGGUUAAUGACUGAAGGGCUCUGGAAAGGGGAUAAGAGGCC
rnacentral:antisense_RNA from 1 species